ACGUGCAUGACCUUGUGAGCCUGAAACCUGCUUGGUGGCCACUGAAGUUGAUCUUAUUGAAGCUGUCAUUGCUCCUCGCUUAACUUUGCCGUGUGGUCCUGCUGACUUCCUUGUGAAUGGGAAGUUGCUAUUCAGGAAAUGGAUCAGCUUGAAAAAUCAUCUCUUUGUUUUGCAGGACUGGUUUUCAGCUGGGUAGGCUUCUGUCACUGUUGAAGCAAGAAGAUGAAGCAGCGUCCUGUGAAACAGCAGAGUGCCCUGAGGAAGGAAGCUGAAACAUGAAUAGGGCUGUCAUCCCAUACAAGUUGCCUCUUGGCAAGGCUGUGAAGAUGAUGAAUGAUUCAGUGAGACUAGUUGAAUUUAUCCAAGGGAUUUACAAGCUGGUACAUUUUGCUGGACAAGGUCUGUAUUUUUUAUGCAAUCUAAAAAACAACAUGAUUUUCAUUCAAAUUGAUGCACAGCCACAUAUUGCGUACUGUAUUAUUCAUUAUGCAUGGAAAAUGAUUGCUUCAAAAUCCUGAAGUACCUAUUAAAUCAUCCAGAUAUUUUGGUUAAAUUUCUGGACCUUUCUCUUACUUUUAUCUGAGCCAGGGAAAAUAUUUUUAAAUAUUGUUUUUCUUUUAAGUUACCUGUUUUUAUUUUAAUGUCUUAUAAAAAGUCUAAGCUAGAGAUUAUUCAUUACACAUUUAUGAAAUAAAAUAGAUUUACAAUAGUAAAUGAUGAUUUAUUAAAAAAAUAUUAAUAUAAAUCAGUUUUUUGCAUAGGUAAAAUGAACAUUGGGUGUCACAAGCCGUUCUCAAUUCCCGUCAUGCAAAUUCUGCUUUUGUUUCAAUAUGCAUCUCUGAAGCCUCAGAAGGACUCUGUGGACCUUUUCAAUAGGGCAUUGAAUAGAUGAAGCAUGUGUUAGAUCAAAUACAUACACCAAACUGAGGAUGAAUAAAUGAUGCUGGAUAUACCAUUGCCCAUGUGGAUAGAAAAGCAAAUGAAAAGCAUUAAAGGUGCAAAGACUGCUCAGAAGGAGCUUUUCUGAACUUCCCUGAUUGAAGGGAAUAUUUUGGGCGUAGAUAAUGCAAAAACUACAGGCAGAAUGAACAAAAUACAUGGAAAAGUACUUAAAUAAAUUAUGACAAUCCAAAAAAUGCUUCUUAGUGGGGGUGAAAUUGAAGAAGUGCUGUGCACCCAUGCCCAUCUUUCAACAGUAAGAAUUGGUCUCCACAGCAGUUCUUCCUUUAGUAGAAAUGAAUCAAAAGCAGGUCAUCUGUUGUCUCCUGGCAUCACUUCCCCGAAUGACAUCUUUUGUCUAGUGGGAGUUUAGCCAACAUAGCAGAACUCCUGGGGAACACAAAUGGUUUUGUAUUCCUCCCAGGAAGUAACAUUUUGUUGUGUGGACUUGGCCUAGGAUGUUGAUUUUUGUCAUCACUGCAGGCUGGGCAAAAAUAAAGCAUUCAUCCCAAAUGCUCUACUUGGGCUUGAAGGCAGCUGGUGUCUUAAGAUGCAAGCCUUUGUUGUUCCCAUAAACUCUCUUCCAAGAAAAUGGACUGCUAUUUUUGAAUUAGAACCAAUAUAAAAAACUGCAGUGAUUUGCAUUUCUGUCAGGCCUCUCAUGCAGAAGGGCAGUUUACUACAGAUUGUUGUAUCAGCUGAUUUACCACUUACAGGUCAAACUCUGAAGUUUUAGAACAAGGCUUCCAUUGAUUAAUAGGUAGAUUUUGGCUGAUAUUAGCAUUGUGAGCUGAGCCCUUCAGUGUUCAUUCAGAACCCUACAGGAGAAUACAGCUGUAUAACGCAACAUAUAGAUCACUUACAACUCUGGCUGUGGUACAACUUAUCAUCUGCUGAAAAACAACAGUGCUCAGUUUCUGCCAAGGAGAAAGCAGUACAGGAUGUAUGUGAAACUACAAAAUGAGUGUCGGUAGACUAUGUAGUUGCUUGCACAAAACUGAACUGAAAAGAACAGAGUUGCUCUUCUCUUCUUGUGGAUGGUGCUUUCUCAGCUUUAGGUCACGAAAGUCCAGAGCUCCCAUAAACUGUAAAAUCAGGAAAAAAAAAAAAAAAGAGUGUGCAGGAAAUGAAACAGAUUGAUUGGGUUGGAGUGGAUCUAUACUCAGAAGCUGGGAAGCAUUAGAGCUUACAGGAGAACAGUGCUGUGCCCACAGUGAUCACGCAUGCUGCUCUCCAGCAUUAACUGAAGUAAGGGAAAAUGUCAUCAGUAGUGUAGCUUCAGGUCUUUAAUUGCACAAGGUGCUACCAUUGCCAAAGAAGGAGGUAUCUUUCUGCUAGAAAGUGCCAAAAUUAAAGGGAAUGUUUAUCAUCUCUGACUAUAUUGCCCAAAGAUGUUGUAGAAAUUGCAGGAAAAGUUCAAGUCUGCAUACUCCCUAUAUGCUUUCUUGCCUUCAGAUUUUUCCUCCUCAGGUGCAUCAUAGGUGGAAGGGCUACAGUGAGCUGUAAAACAGUUCUCAACUCUAAAUAUUGGACAUGUUGCUUGCAAUAGUGGUUGGAGCAAAUAGACAAACUAGAUCAGUAUGUACUUCCCAUGUAGAGUGGACACUGUUAAACAAAUGAAUAAUUUGAAUGCAUGUUUAAAGUAGUGAAAAAUACCUCUGUCACUCUUUUCCUAUUAAGUUGUGAUUCUUCUGGGGGAUUUUUAAUGUCUCCUGAUCCCCAGUUCCACAUCUGCCCCAGAAGAGUCCUCCACAGAAAGCAGUGGCUCUCUACUUCUGUUUUGAAAGGAGUCAGAUUAAGAGAAAAGUAGAAGUUAAUUACUCUGCAUUGGUGGGGUUCAUUAGUCUGCAAAAGAUAUGGACACUGUUUAAGAAGGUAGAUUGUGUAGAGGGAGUUUCUAACAGGCAUCUUUGCUGUCAUUAUUAAUAUCAUCAGAUUGCACUGACAACAAGCUAAAGGCAAGUGUAGGUGGGAGACAAACAAUGUAUCUGCCUCAAAGCACAUUAGUUAAUAAAGCUUUUGUUACAACUUGA